rnacentral:tRNA from 1 species
CUUCAGGUGGCAGAGUAAGUGCAUUGAAUUUAAGCUUCAAAUAUAAAGGCUUAAACCUUUCCUGAGGA